AUAUAGGUCUCAUCUAUUUAUUUAGGCUGAGAAGAUAAAAGCGGAGUUCUCGGAGACCAAGAAAGAUAGUUGAAAGUUAUGAUUAAUAUUUUGGUUUCAAGUGUUAUAGUUUGGUUCUGAAUUCAUUAUGUUUAGAAUAAGCUUGUGUUUAAGUGUAAUUAUCAAACAUAUACAAUUUUCUAUAAAUAUUGAAAUCUAACCCUUAGUAACAAGCAGAAUCUGGUUUUCUUGGGCACUUACAUUUGUAUUCAUGAUAGUGACAUAACUAAUAGUUUCUUCUAUUGUAAUUAAAACUGAUUUAUAAAUGAGUUACUGCUAAUAUACUAAAAUUUCCAUCAAAACAACACAUCUGUAGUCAACGUGUUUUUUAAGUAAAUUUUAAAAUAAAGCUCUACUUCAAUUUUGUUUACUUCUCACGGAUUAACAACAGAUUUGUCAUUACGACCUUGAAUAUUAACGAAAUAUUUGUCAUUAACGAGCGUCAUUACGACCUUGAAGAUUAACAACAGAUUUGUCAUUAACAAGUGUCCUUACGACCUUGAAGAUUAACAACAGAUUUGUCAUUAAUGAGUGACCUUAUGAUCUUGAAUAUUAACGAAAUAUUUGUCAUUAACGAGCGUCAUUACGACCUUGAAGAUUAACAACAGAUUUGUCAUUAACGAGUGUCAUUACAACCUUGAAGAUUAACGACAUAUUUGUUAUUAUGACCUUGAAGAUUAACAACAGAUUUGUUAUUACGACCUUGAAGACUAAAACAUUUGUCUUUAGCAUGUGCUCUUAUAAUCCCAAGGAUUAAUAAGAUUUGUCAUUAAUGCAUGCAUAUAUUAAACCUUAUUUUGCCAGUUGGGUGGAUUUUUUAUUGUACUUAACAUUUAUGAAGUUAAACCAAAAUAUCCAUUUUUUUUUGGUAGAAUUAAGUUUCCAAAAGUAUGUAUUUCAUAAAAAUCCAGAGGUCUGUCAUUAUGGUGUACUAUCUAUUUAGAAUUUAUGUAUUGAAAAUAAUCCAUAAAAACAUUAUUUAAAACUUGAAACGUUGAGUACAUAGUGUCUUUCAGGUGACUGAAAACGAAGUCUGGAAUACAUUAUAGCUGAGACUUGAAAUACUGUAUUUGUCAUGUAUUGUAAAUUAAAUGUGUGUGUAUUCUUAUUCAGUUAAUAAUUGUAUGGUAAUAAAGAUUUGUUGGGUUCA